rnacentral:lncRNA from 1 species
CUGGCGCCACUUGCAGAUGAGAGUUGAGCAUGGAUGGUUGUCGUGAGGAUGAACCUGCUUUCACAUUUUGCUACAAUGUCUUAGUAAGCCGACCCCGCUUUCGAAUCACAAGAGGGGGGCGGUGACCUCUGGAGGCACUCUAUCAAUUGGAACAACCGGGUUUCCCUUCCCGAUCGCCUUAAAGGUACUGAUUUUUCUAUUUGCCGCUUGGUGUUGUAAUUGGGCCAUGUAGUCCCCAAGGGUCAAGUUCACUCGAU